UACGUAUGGGGCGAGCGUUGUUCGGAUUUAUUGGGCGUAAAGGGCGUGUAGGCGGUUUUGUAAGCCCGGUGUUAAAGGUAUUGGCUUAACCAAUAUUUGGCGCUGGGUACUGCAAGACUAGAGUCCUGGAGAGGAAGCUGGAAUUCCUGGUGUAGGGGUGAAAUCUGUAGAUAUCAGGAAGAACACCGAUGGCAGAGGCAAGCUUCUAGCCAUGGACUGACGCUGAGGCGCGAAAGCGUGGGGAGCAAACAGG
rnacentral:rRNA from 1 species